GGGGAUUUGGCUCAGUGGUAGAGCGCUUGCCUAGCAAGCACAAGGCCCUGGGUUCGAUCCCCAGCUCCG
rfam:Rattus norvegicus chromosome 2, whole genome shotgun sequence.